rnacentral:rRNA from 1 species
GACAGCAGUCGCCACGGGAAUACAGAGGGUGCGAGCGUUAAUCGGAUUUACUGGGCGUAAAGCGUGCGUAGGCGGCUUUUUAAGUCGGAUGUGAAAUCCCUGAGCUUAACUUAGGAAUUGCAUUCGAUACUGGGAAGCUAGAGUAUGGGAGAGGAUGGUAGAAUUCCAGGUGUAGCGGUGAAAUGCGUAGAGAUCUGGAGGAAUACCGAUGGCGAAGGCAGCCAUCUGGCCUAAUACUGACGCUGAGGUACGAAAGCAUGGGGAGCAAACAGGAUUAGAGACCCCAGUAGUCCCUGUCUCUUAUAC